AGUCUGAUGGAGCAACGCCGCGUGAGUGAAGAAGGGUUUCGGCUCGUAAAGCUCUGUUGUUAAAGAAGAACGUGGGUGAGAGUAACUGUUCACCCAGUGACGGUAUUUAACCAGAAAGCCACGGCUAACUACGUGCCAGCAGCCGCGGUAAUACGUAGGUGGCAAGCGUUAUCCGGAUUUAUUGGGCGUAAAGCGAGCGCAGGCGGUCUUUUAAGUCUAAUGUGAAAGCCUUCGGCUCAACCGAAGAAGUGCAUUGGAAACUGGGAGACUUGAGUGCAGAAGAGGACAGUGGAACUCCAUGUGUAGCGGUGAAAUGCGUAGAUAUAUGGAAGAACACCAGUGGCGAAGGCGGCUGUCUGGUCUGUAACUGACGCUGAGGCUCGAAAGCAUGGGUAGCGAACAGGAUUAGAUACCCUGGUAGUCCAUGCCGUAAACGAUGAUUACUAAGUGUUGGAGGGUUUCCGCCCUUCAGUGCUGCAGCUAACGCAUUAAGUAAUCCGCCUGGGGAGUACGACCGCAAGGUUGAAACUCAAAAGAAUUGACGGGGGCCCGCACAAGCGGUGGAGCAUGUGGUUUAAUUCGAAGCUACGCGAAGAACCUUACCAGGUCUUGACAUCUUCUGCCAACCUAAGAGAUUAGGCGUUCCCUUCGGGGACAGAAUGACAGGUGGUGCAUGGUUGUCGUCAGCUCGUGUCGUGAGAUGUUGGGUUAAGUCCCGCAACGAGCGCAACCCUUAUUACUAGUUGCCAGCAUUCAGUUGGGCACUCUAGUGAGACUGCCGGUGACAAACCGGAGGAAGGUGGGGACGACGUCAAAUCAUCAUGCCCCUUAUGACCUGGGCUACACACGUGCUACAAUGGAUGGUACAACGAGUCGCGAAACCGCGAGGUUUAGCUAAUCUCUUAAAACCAUUCUCAGUUCGGACUGUAGGCUGCAACUCGCCUACACGAAGUCGGAAUCGCUAGUAAUCGCGGAUCAGCAUGCCGCGGUGAAUACGUUCCCGGGCCUUGUACACACCGCCCGUCACACCAUGAGAGUUUGUAACACCCA
rnacentral:rRNA from 1 species